GAUGAAAUUAAUUUAUAUAUUAGAUGAAAAUUAUAUUCGGUCAGUGUAAAUUAUGUGAAUUUGUACACUAACUUGCAAACUCGUAAAAUAGCCGACACCAACACAACAGCAAAGCCCUGACAACAAAAUUAAGUGAUAGCACCAUUUCUGAACUGCACGAUGCCAUCCAAUUAGGCUUUCUCACCAAGGGCAAGGCCAAAAUUCGCCAUUUUUGGGGUACUGUCUGCCCUCGUGAAAGAUUCUAGACAAUUCAAACAACGUAAAAAUCGAUUUUUAAAAGCUGUAACUGUAAAUUUACCAUUAUACAAACAACUACUAAAACGUUGUAUUUCAUGGCCGUGAGACUCUCAAAAGUAGGAGAGGCAGUACGUACCCCAAAAAUGGCGGAAAGAUCGGCCGUGAGAAAAACUAAUUACCUCGCAUAUACAAUUUAAAUGCUUGAUUGUAAAGGUAGCUAUACUACAAAAAUAUGAGUUAUCCAAAAAUUAGAAUUGGGUGACAAUGGGUAUAAUAUGAACAUGUACUAGUCGACUCUGCAUGUCAACCACUAGCCUGCGUGUCAGGCUCUAUGCUUGAAAUAGAGCCUGCUACUAUUAAAUAAAAUACGAUUCGUACGCAAAAUUCCCAUUGGUCAGAAAUAAAUAGCCUUGCCUUAUAAGGUAAUAUCAAGUUGUUGUUUACAUAAUAUGAUAUUCCGUACUGGUAAUUGUACUUUUGGCCGCAUUAAUUACUACCUUUGCUGUCUAUAAACACGGUCAAUAACCGUUGUUAUUAUUUAGUAUAUAAUUCCUGGCCGUUUAAUGAAAAUUGGAAUAUUUAUUUUCGAGAUAAUGGCGGGAAAAUUGACCGUUAUUGUCAUUUUAAAUUAGCUUUGAUAAUCUAAUUAACAAUCGCCGUUUUGAUUGGUUGUUAUUUUCGUGCCUCCAAAUGACUGUCCACUUUUCAUCGUCUUCAGUAGCAGACUCUAUUUCAAGCAUAGAGCCUGACACGCAGGCUAGUCAACCACAGGCGACAUGUGUCGUGAUAAUUUGUACUACUGUAAUGCGCCAUACAGACGAACAAGUUUUCCUUGACAAAUUUUAAGUACGCAAAGUUUAAGUACGUUAAAAGUAGCCUGCGCGCAGGCUCGCGACAUCGUCUCAAACGAUGUCGCUUGAGACUGCGCCGCGCAGGCUACGUUGAAAGUUGCUUCCCACCAAAUUAAAAAUAGGCACUUGAGGAGUACGUAAGGAUUUGCAAUUUUGUUGUCAAUUUUAUAAUGCAAGAAAGAUGGAAAAAUAUCGCCCAAAAUGUAGCAUAACAAAACACAACAUCAUGACAAAUCUUUUCUUUGAA